UACGUAGGGGGCAAGCGUUAUCCGGAUUUACUGGGUGUAAAGGGAGCGUAGACGGAAUUGCAAGUCUGAUGUGAAAAUCCGGGGCCCAACCCCGGAACUGCAUUGGAAACUGUAUUUCUAGAGUGUCGGAGAGGCAAGUGGAAUUCCUGGUGUAACGGUGAAAUGCGUAGAUAUCAGGAGGAACACCAGUGGCGAAGGCGGCUUGCUGGACGAUGACUGACGUUGAGGCUCGAAAGCGUGGGGAGCAAACAGG
rnacentral:rRNA from 1 species